AAAGCGAAUAGUGAAACCUGAUGGCUCAACCAUCAGACUAUUAUUCGAACUCACCGACUCGAGAGUGGUAGAGGUAACUGGAAUUUCUUGUGUAGGAGUGAAAUCCGUAGAUAUAAGAAGGAACACCAAUGGCGUAGGCAGGUUACUGGACCAUUUCUGACACUGAGGCACGAAAGCGUGGGGAGCGAACCGGAUUAGAUACCCGGGUAGUCCACGCCGUAAACUAUGGAUACUA
rnacentral:rRNA from 1 species